rnacentral:misc_RNA from 1 species
GAUGAAGAACGUAGCGAAAUGCGAUAAGUAGUGUGAAUUGCAGAAUUCAGUGAAUCAUCGAAUCUUUUAACGCACAUUGCGCCCCAUGGUAUUCCGUGGGGCAUGCCUGUUCGAGCGUCAUUUACCCCCUCAAGCUCCGCUUGGUGUUGGGCGUCUGUCCCGCUUCGCGCGCGGACUCGCCCCAAAGGUAUUGGCAGCGGUCGUGCCAGCUUCUCGCGCAGCACAUUGCGCUUCUCGAGGCACCGGUGGGCCCGCGUCCAUCAAGCUCACCCCCCCAGUUUGACCUCGGAUCAGGUAGGGAUACCCGCUGAACUUAAGCAUAUCAAUAAGCGGAGGA